CAGUAUUCUGCCACCGCAUCUUACCUACUUGGCAGGCAAGCUAGAGUUGGCCUAAAUUCUGCUUUUAUCAUUUAUGUGUUUGUUCUUAUGCUUUUAGGAAAAAAAAAUCCUGAAAUAAUGGUGAAGGACAGCAAGUAUUUGCCUAGAGUGCAUGCUAAGAAGUCUCCAUAGAUGUUUUUCUUUAAGUAUCCUGACCGCUUAACAUAUUGAUGAAGACCUCUUAUUUCCAGGUCAACAAUCAGCUGUUACCAACUUAAGCUUUCUAAACAUUUUCUGUGAAACAAAUUUUUGCCAGUAAGAAAAGGAAAUUGGGAGCUGCCACUGCUUAAUUAAUUUGAAGCUUUGAUAAGCUUUGCCAGAGAGUCGCAUAAUAGAAUUAGCAAGUUUCUUAACAGGCUAAUGUCAGAUUCCACACCCACAUACCUAAAAGAGGAGCCAGCCUGUCAAGGUGGCCCAGUUACAAAAGAGAGCUUCCAAUCAGCCUUUCCAUUCAGGAGACCGUUCUACUGGAGAAUGAUACCUGCUUACCCAAAACAGCCUUUCCUUUUCCUUCAUGAAUUACUAAUCAAGGAUGAUCAGAAAUAGGAACAAAAUCCACAGCCUGAAAGAGAAAGACCAAGCUAAACACCAAGAGUGAAUUACCCCUGAAGAAAUAAAGAUCAAAGAAGACAAAAAAUUUAAGCUUGUGUCCUUAGAGGAGGCACAGAAGAUAUUGCCUCCAUAAAAUAAGAGAAGGAUGCUAUUAAAAAUAAACAAUUAAGAAAUGAGAAGGUGAAAAUGUAAAUUAGUAAGUCAUUAUGGAAAACAGUAUGGAAAUUCCUCAACAGUUAAAAAUAGAACUAGCCAUAUGAUCCAGCAACCCCACUACUGAGUAUAUGUCCAAAGGAAAUCACUGAGAGGUAUCUGAACUCUCAAUGUUUAUUGCAGCACUGUUUACAAGAGUCAAGAUAUGGGAUCAACCUAUGUGUUCACCAAUGGGUGAAUAGAGAAAGAAAAUGUGUUUUAUAUAUACACAGUGGAAUACUAUUUAGACAUAAAAAAUAACUGGAAU
rnacentral:lncRNA from 10 species